CACAGCCCUCUCUCCCGGAUGAGGUGCCGUUUCCCCUUCGUCGAGGUAACAAGUUCAACAAGGCUCCCCUCCUGCCAUGGCCCAGGCAGCCCCGAAUGAUACACUGUUGCCCGGGGAUGCCCGCCGAGAGCUAAUGCACUGUCAGUUCUGCCGGCUGGAGUGGCCCGAGGGGCACCCGAGCCAGGCCGCUGAGUGCGCGCCCCGUAAAGAUGCUGGAGGAGCUGAUACCAGGAGUCAGAGGCACCAACAUCUGUAAAGAAGUCAUGUCCAUGCUGCACAAGAGAGGAGUCUGUCCAUCCUCACAUUUGACUUCAAGUAGCCAUGGAGGGCAUCCUUGUUGGGACUACCAAAAAGCACAAGAUUCUCUCCAAAGAGCAGGUGGUCACUGUUCAUGAGUCGGCAUCCUUGGCUGGCUGGCUGCUGGAGCACACGGAGGCUGUGGUGAACGCAGGUUGCAGGCCCCAGCACCACAGGACUGACAUGGGUGCGAGCUGAGUGCACAUGUUGGAAACCUCUUGUGGAGUCAUGAACUUGAUGAGAACUUAUUGCAAUUACCGGGGAUGGAACCCAGAGGUGUUUUAACACUGUGCCACAGCCCCAUCCUUUUUAUUUUUUGCAACAGGGUCUAAGUUGUUUAGGGACUUCUGGCUUUGAACUUGUGAUCCUCCUGCCUCAGCCUCCUGAGCUGCUAGACAUGUGCCAUCACACUGUGCCAACUGGUGGUAUUAUAAGGAGCUUCCAGAAAGUGAGUGGAUCAUGAAUGUAGAUUGUUGUUGAGUGACCAAUAAGGAAGCUGUGACUAUUGGGAAGUGAGUGCCCAUUCUCGGUUGAGGGCAUGGCUUCCAAUUGUACCCUCCAGGAGGACUGGUGUGGCACUGAAACAAGUGGCAGGAGCCUGUGCAGGUGCACCUUGAAAGGGUAGCUACUCUGUGCUCCACCCUCAUUUCACACUGCAGAAAAGUAAACUCUGCAGUCAAGGGCCAGCUGCCCCACCAGGGGUAGUUUCUCUGCCUUUUUUAAAAAAUAUUUUUUUAGUUGUUAAUA